UUUUCCGAUAUGCAGAACGAAAUGGCAUUCGGGCCAGUUUUCCGAUGUUCAGAUCAAAGAAGUUUCCGACGUUCGGUUGAUACAACUUGUGUCAUUCAGGCCAAUUUUCCGGUAUUCAGACCGAAGUAGCAUUCAGGCCAGUUUUCCGGUAUUCAGACCGAAGUGGCAUUCAAGCCAGUUUUCUGAUGUUCAAAUCGAGGAAGUUUCCGA
rnacentral:lncRNA from 1 species